GAGCUUUCUUCAGUCCACUC
rnacentral:miRNA from 2 species